CUACUCUGGAUCUCCAAGUUCCGUUCCAUCUCAGCAGCAAGAUCAUCAACCUCGUCGUCAGAUAGGUUAAGAUCAUGAAGAGCUUCUCCCCCUGAGCCAGAGGCAGGCUGAAGAUGAUCCCAACCAACUUCCCGAAGAACCUGACUAGGACGAAGAUUGUGAAGGGGAGAUUCAAUCAGAAGGCUCCCGUGCACUGGAACACCAAGGGCAUAGAG
rnacentral:lncRNA from 1 species